rnacentral:rRNA from 1 species
GUCCUAUACAUGCAGUCGAGCGAAUGGAUUAAGAGCUUGCUCUUAUGAAGUUAGCGGCGGACGGGUGAGUAACACGUGGGUAACCUGCCCAUAAGACUGGGAUAACUCCGGGAAACCGGGGCUAAUACCGGAUAACAUUUUGAACCGCAUGGUUCGAAAUUGAAAGGCGGCUUCGGCUGUCACUUAUGGAUGGACCCGCGUCGCAUUAGCUAGUUGGUGAGGUAACGGCUCACCAAGGCAACGAUGCGUAGCCGACCUGAGAGGGUGAUCGGCCACACUGGGACUGAGACACGGCCCAGACUCCUACGGGAGGCAGCAGUAGGGAAUCUUCCGCAAUGGACGAAAGUCUGACGGAGCAACGCCGCGUGAGUGAUGAAGGCUUUCGGGUCGUAAAACUCUGUUGUUAGGGAAGAACAAGUGCUAGUUGAAUAAGCUGGCACCUUGACGGUACCUAACCAGAAAGCCACGGCUAACUACGUGCCAGCAGCCGCGGUAAUACGUAGGUGGCAAGCGUUAUCCGGAAUUAUUGGGCGUAAAGCGCGCGCAGGUGGUUUCUUAAGUCUGAUGUGAAAGCCCACGGCUCAACCGUGGAGGGGUCAUUGGAAACUGGGAGACUUGAGUGCAGAAGAGGAAAGUGGAAUUCCAUGUGUAGCGG